rnacentral:rRNA from 1 species
UGGGGAAUCUUGCGCAAUGGGCGAAAGCCUGACGCAGCGACGCCGCGUGAGUGAUGAAGGCCUUCGGGUUGUAAAGCUCUGUGGGGAGGGACGAAUAAGGCGAAGCGAACAGCUUCGUUGAUGACGGUACCUUCUUAGCAAGCACCGGCUAACUCUGUGCCAGCAGCCGCGGUAAGACAGAGGGUGCAAACGUUGUUCGGAAUUACUGGGCGUAAAGCGCGUGUAGGCUGCUCGGAAAGUUGGGUGUGAAAGCCCUGGGCUCAACCCAGGAAGUGCACUCAAGACUUCCGAGCUGGAGUCUCGGAGAGGGAAGCGGAAUUCUCGGUGUAGAGGUGAAAUUCGUAGAUAUCGAGAGGAACACCGGUGGCGAAGGCGGCUUCCUGGACGAUGACUGACGCUGAGACGCGAAAGCGUGGGGAGCAAACAGG